rnacentral:lncRNA from 1 species
UUGAUUCAAGAGACAAAUUACAAAAAAUCGAUACACGAACGAACACAAAUAACAAAGAUACUCAACAAAACUAAAAACUUCAGUGUAGUCCUUCGAACUAAACUUCUCUUGAUCCAUCCUUCGCAUUUGAUGCUUCACAACAUAUUCGUUGACAAAAUUGCAGAAUACCGUGCUUGCACAAAAUGAACUAACCUCAAAGGUUUUGAAAAGUCGCAUGAGCCGUCCACCUCAAACAGUAAGAACUUAAGAUCAUUGAACGCACCGAUGGAGUCAUUCCCCUUGCAAGACAAGCUGUAAAAUUGCUUUCCCGUCGAUGAAUCAACAAGGAAAC